GAAAUUAACUUUUUAUUCUUUUAAUUCAUGACAAACAAAACAAAACAAAGUUGUACGCGUCAAGAGACUUAUACGCUUUUAGCUUCUCCUGAGUAUAGGCUAUACACUUGAGGUGUCAAUCAGGUAAAUAUACAUCUCUGGCCACUGGAUGCUUGGCCAUUUCGUUUCAUCAUUUAACCACUGACAAGGUGCUAUGGCAGACAUCCCAAGUCUCCCGGAAGUUCCGGGAGUCUCCCGCAUAUUGAUAGCGGCUCCCUGAUGCCCGCAAAUUAGUUAAAAUCUCCCGGAAUCUAGAGCGAGCGAGCAAGAGCGUGCAUAGAGACUGUGUUUCAAACCAGCGCGCGCACGGCAGAGAGGGAGAGGGAGCGAGAGAGAGACCUUGCGUGUGUGUGUGUGUGUGUGUGUGUGUGUGCGUGUGUGCGAAGCGCAUGUAAGACAGAGAGCAUCCCGAAUGGCCUUUUUCGGCAAAUCAACCAAUCAAUUAUCAGUGAGAUAUAAUUCAUCCAGACACACAGCUGAUAUAAAUGAUGCACACCCAGGUGAGAUAAACUACACAGCACGAUGGAUCCACUCUAACAGUUAUCUGUCCAGUACCAGAGCAAGAUGAACACCACGGCCUCCAUGAACCAAACAUAUCCUCUUGUAUUUACAUGCUCAGACUCUUACCCAGGGAAUUUCAUUGGAUUAACUGUCACAGCAUUCCAGAUUUUUAUCAUCCUGCCUGUUCACACCCGGGUCCUCUGGCUGGGCACAAGUGACAUUAGAAAAGGUGGAAGUCUGGCAACCUCAGAUAUCUUUACAGUCAGCCUGUCUGUAUUAGAACUUUUGACUGUCAUACUUUUUGUGUUUACACUGUUUGCUUUUGCUCUUAACUAUCAACACACGAUGCUUAUUUUUAUGUUCUUUUCUGGAAGCUACAUGGUUGGACGUCCCUUUUCGAAUAGCUUGAUUUGUGUUGAGCGCUACAUAGCCGUGGGCCAUCCAGUGAUGUACCGCAACCCAGGCUUUGUGAAGCACAGAUAUAUUGUUGCUGGACUGGUCUGGAUGCUGACUUUGUCUUAUGGAGGAUUUGCUGUGUUCACCUUUCCAGAACCCCCGAUUGCAGCCUACCUUGUCUCCCUCACAAUUAGCCUGUUAGUGAUCACCGCUUGUAGUCUAGGUGUGCUCAAGUUCCUGUUGAGACCAAGUCCUGUUGAAGCACAAAAGGAAAGGAUGCACCACCAGAAAAAGAGGGCAUUUGUAAUUAUCACUGGCAUUCUAGUUUGCAUAUCUGUUCCAUAUGGUCCUGGAUUUGUUUGCUUUCAGUAUGAAGAAGUAUAUAUCUUAUGAUAAUUUCUGUUUGGUGGUGGGCAUCAAUAUGUGGUUAAUUCAAGAAUGUAGUUUAAUACAGCCUUUUCUCUAUCUGUCCAAGCUUGGCAAGUUUUCAUGCAGCAAAAAGUUUCUCAUUAAAACAACGAAAAUGGUUGGAGCUGUCGCUUCGUGGAUAUCACAUGGCUCUCAGAUGUAAGACGUAAGCUCAAUUCUGGGUUGUGUUGUGUAACCAUCAGCUCUCCUUACAAUUUUCUAUCUGCUUCUUUUGUUAAAAAAUCUUGAAAUGCAUUAAAAGCUGAUAAAAUGGUAACAAACAUGGUAACAAAAUGGGAUACUUUUCUUGUGGUCUCCAGUGGCCUUUGCUAAUGCUCUGUGUGAUGUGAAAUUAGU